GAAAAACAUGCAAACUCUUCUGCAUUUGACGUUCUGUGUGGACUGGGGAGAAUGCAGGGUGCCUCUGUUUGAUUUCAGGAGGAGAGCUGUGUUAUCUUCAUGUGACCGUGGCUUCUUACCCAUGUGCUUUCCUGGUCUCUUUCAUUUUCACACCUGCCUUGAUCUUUAAUCGCUCAAAUUAUUCAUAGACUUGCCCUGGAAGAAGAAGAGGCUGACCUCUUCCCAUCUGGAGUAGAUGGAUUUACUAUCAGUAAUUGUAAAUGGACUCGGAUGACUUAAUGGUUUUUGUGCUUAAAUUUUUUAAUUCUGUGAUUUCAUUUCUUUUUAAGGAUUCUGCCCACAGCUUCCCUGAACUGAUAGAUCUCUAUGGUAUAACUUCAAGUUACUUUGUGCAAAUUGUAUCUUAACAUUGGGCUCGCAUCCACAACGUGCUGAUGAUCCCCCAUUGACUGCUGAGUUGUCAAAGAGCUCCGUUUGCACAGGACCAGGCCUGGAAGUUGCAGUUGUCUUUUUUUUUUUUCCCCCUGUAAUUAUAUACAAUGUCUUUCAUUACAAAGAACCUGAAGACAAUUUAUGAAAUCAGCAGCCACAAAAGUAAUGCGGUGCCCGUUGGGGGUUAUGUAUUCACAUUGAUUACAAUUUAACAAUCCCUCAGCCUGAGGAUAUCUGAGAGGACUUAGCGCCAACUGCUUUUCAAUCCGUGCGUGUUGCUAUAAGCUGCAAGCUGGAACUGAUAGAUAUCUGUUGCUAUUGCCAGCAACUAUUGGUUCUCUGUUACUUCAGUACCUUAAUUUAAAUUAUUAAGAAACUUGUGAAUCUGUUUUGUUUUUCUACUCUUCCUAGCACUGAUACUUCAUCUGGCCUAGAUGUACAAUGAAUACUUUGGUGAAUGUGAUUUAGUCCAGUUUCCUCCAUUAACUCAAGAAAGACUUCUUUUCUAUAUCGCUUUUCUCUCAAAAGGAGAGAAGACGUGCACAGCUGGAGUUCACCUGGACAAACUGAACUUGGAGCAGAAUAAGAUGCAAAAUGAGAACAUUUGUGAUUUAGACUCAAGAAACUUUGUGUUGUUCUGCUGUAGAAUUGUACUUGGUAAAAAUCAACCAGAGGGAACCACCUGUAACCAAACACAUCUUGAUGAUGGAGGGAGCACUACGAGGUGACUUCAAUGACUCAGCUUUGGAGCUGUGUAUUUAGAUAGCCAUCCCAUAUUUCCUCAGUGCUGUCUUUUGCAUACUGUGCUGCUGUUCUCUCCGUUUUGCUCUUCCUAAUUCUGAGAAUGCAAUGAUUUGGUUUUUUUCCACAAGCAGAUGACAGUUUGCUGUCUCCCCAGUGUCUUCCCAUGGUUGCCUGUAUGAGGUAAGUUACAUUCUGAUACUAAUGCUGUAUUCUCUGCAGCUACAUGUUCUACAUUCUACACUUCAGAAAUCAGCAGCUCUCUAGCUUCCUAGGUUUUAGCUGAGUUUAACCUUUGGUGAUUGGUAAACAGACUUGUUAAGAAAAUUCAUGGCCCGGUCAUUCGUCUUUCAAAUUCCAGAGUCUUGUCAAGCAAACUCUGCACCCUUGUCAGUCUACGUGUCAGUGUCCCUCUCAUGGCAGUUUCUGGCUUUUCUGUUGGAGAUGGGAACUUAGAAAGGCAUCUUUAGGAUGAUGGAUGUUCUGUGUGGGUACAGAUAGCAGUAUUUUUGGUGCAAAUAAGGAAAGAAAAUGCUCUCCAACAUCUGAAUGUAGAUGCAAAAUAACAGAAUCACAGAAUGGCCUGAGUUGGAAGGGACAUCAAGGAUCAUGAAUCUCCAACCCCCACAGGCAGAGUGAACAGAACCAUGCAGGUUCUUUGUUAAUGCUGGAUCAUUUGUUUCUUCUUCCCUCUGUCUAACAUGUUUGAAAGGUUAUUAAUUGAAAUUAGUUCAGCCAACUUCAUGAAUUAGUGAUGUAUUUCAUAGGCCUGUCUCUGGCCAACACAAAUCUUGCAAGGAAAAAAAGAAACUGUUUUUAUUUUUUUCUAAUUUCUAGCAACAAGGGGAUUGAGGGCACCUUCAGUAGAUCUGCAGACGACAUCAAGUUGGGAGGGAGUGUUGAUCUGCCGGAGGGGAGAAGGGCACUGCAGAGAGAGCUGGGUAGCCUGGAUCGAUGGGCAAGGUUAACUGUAUGCAUUUCAGUAGGGCCAAGAGUUGGGUCCUGCAUUUUGGUCACAGCAACCCCAGGCAACCCUACGGGAUUGGGGAAGAGUGGCUGGAAGCUGCCUGGUGGAAAGGGACCUUGGUGUGCUGAUGGACAGUGGGCUGAAUAUGAGCCAGCAGUGUGCCCAGGUGGCCAAGAACACCAAUGGCAUCCUGGCUUGGAUCAGGAAUGCUGUGGUGAGCAGGACUGGGGAAGUCAUCCUGCCCUGCACUCAGCACUGCUGAGGCCUCACCUCGAGUGCUGUGUUCAGAUUUGGGCACCUCAGCACAGAAAGGACACGGAGGUGCUGCAGCAGGUCCAAAGCAGGGCAACAAGGCUGGGGAAGGGCUUGGAGGAUAUGGCCUCCGAGGAGAGACUGAAGGAACUGGGGCUGUUCGGUCUGGGGAGAAGGAGGCUGAGGGCAGACCUUAUUGCCCUCUUCCAAUACCUGAAAGGUGACAACAGCAGAGCGGGGUUGGUCUCUUCUCACUGGUGACAGGACGAGGGGGAAUGGCCUCAAGUUGCGCCAGGGUAAGUUUAGGUUGGAUAUCAGGAAAAACCUUUACAGAAAGGGUUGUUAAGCACUGCAGUGGGCUGCCCAGGGAGGUGGCUGAGUCACCAUCCCUGGAUGUGCUUAAAAACCGUUUGGAUGUGGUGCUCAGGGACAUGAUUUAGCAGGGGGUUGUUAGGGCAGUAGGUCAUGGUUGGACUUGAUGAUCUUUAAGGUUUUUUCCCAACCUGAAUUAUUCUAUGGCUCUAGGGGUAAACCCAGGAACACACACAUCUCUUAUCAAACUGUUUGAGAUAUACACAGGUCUCCUUGAAAGUAAUGCCUCCUUAUUAUUUCCUUGGAAACAACAACAGAUACGAAGAGCACAUUAACACUAUUUGAUAGAGGAAGGUCUUAGCUGCAAAACACUCUUUUUCAACGUAGUCACCACUGUUAGCUGUGCGUUUUCGCAAUGAAGAGGAGCCUGCACGCCAUACAUCAAAAUCUGUGCUGGUGAAGGUGAUCUGCUGCCAGUACUGCUGAAACGCAGCACCCACUGCCUCACUGUGCUCACAUCGACGUUCAACAAAUGUCAAUGAACUUCAUGCUGUUUUUUUCCACGUGGAAGAAUUCAGUUCCACACCUUCGCUUCAUACGCAUGUCCAUGUCAGCUGUGAUUCUGUCAGCAUGCCCCUCUGCUGCCAUCUGCCACAACAAAAUAUAAUGGACUGUUGGCAGGAAGGCUCAACUACUGCCAUGCCACCAACAGCUGCCUGUGGCGUUGUGAGACAAUGUAAUAUAGGAGGCACUACCUUUGGAACAGCUCUGCUCAUUGUUUAGCACCAUUAUAAUUUUCCAGCUACCCCUUCAACAAUUGCAGUUGCAAGUUGAUGUGGCUAUAACUGAUGUGGCUUGGAGUGCAGGUUGUGUCCCAAAGGAUGCUCGUGUGCAGACUGCAUCUCUUCUUGAUCCCAUAGUAACGCUGCAGCUAAUUCUGAUGGUUUCAGCUCUUCUGAUGAGCUACCACACUGCUUUUUGUUUUGUCUUUCUUUUCUGAGUUUAAACAGUGCAUCUUGUAUUUGUUCAACUUAAGGUUACUUUUUACUUUCAGUGCUUUUGUAAUGUCUCCAUUACUUAUGGGAGCUGAGGGUGGUCUUUUUGAUUCAAAGUGUUUGAUGAAUAUAUUUGUAGGCAUCUGCAAACUUUGUCCUUGCUUCAUCUACUUAUUCUGUGUUUACUUUAAGAUAAAACUAUCUUCUCUCCCCUAGAUACGAUGGGUCUUUCCUUCAGCUAUAGUAGAGCUUCCUGUUGGUGUUUUGUUGUUUCUGAGUAAGGAAAGUCUGAUAUCUUUCAGCUCAGUUGUUGCUUCAUCUCCUCUGCUCUCCCAGGGGGUCUCACAUGCACUUUCAGUUCUGCCUUACAUUCUUGAUUUCGUGAUGUUCCCUACUAUUUACAUUUCCUCACAUAUAUCCUCUUCAUACCAUCUGCUACUUUAUGUCUUGCUCAUCUCUGAAUUUGGUAACCAUGCUGCAUGCAACAGCAUGCUACCUUAUUUUCUUCAAAUUUAAUAAAAAGGUUUUAAAAGAACAAAGCAAGUUAAAAUUCACCAUUUCUAUCUAGACAUCAUAACUGAAAAAGGAGCCAUUGAAGGCCUUCAAAUCCUCAAGAUGGAUGCAUUUAUAGCUGAGAUCUUGUUUGUUGUUUAUGCGAGAGGCAUGUUAUCCGAUCCGCCACAGAGGUUUCACUACUGACAAAAAUUAAGUUGUUAUAGAAUGCUCCCCUAUCAAUUCUUUUCUUUAGAAUGCAGUAAUUCUACUAAGCAGUAUUUACUUCAGAGUCGGUGUGUGGCUGUGCCUUGUUAGAUAAAAGCUGCAGUACUAAAACUGCUCUACUGAACUUAGCUCCUGACCUCCCUUCUAAGGCCACGUCUACAAAGGGAUGAUACAUCAACCCAGUCCGUUUGAUCUAAUUACAGCUAUUUAACUAUGUUGAGCACAAGUACAUCCAUCUCACUUUGUUAUGCUGAUUUAAAGUAUUUUCACUGUUGAUCAUGUGCAUACCAUCCUUUUUUAUAUCAGUACCUCUCAAAAUACUCUGUGCCAUUAUCCUGCGGAGCGCUAUUCUGCUUCUUAGCUCCAUGUUCUUUUUCACAGCAGGCUGACAGGGAAUUCUCUGGAAUGUGGGAAUCCUACAGGUCAAACUGACAAUUUACUAUUGCUUUUUUCUUGGCAUUGAUUUUUGCCUGUGCAACUUCUUCCUCAAAAUGCUGCAAGGUGGCACGAAGAAAAAGCCAGUAAAUCCAUUAUAAGGCUUGUUCCUCAGAGGCUGCAUAGGUGGAAUGGUUUUCUUCUACAGCUUUGUAAGUAGCAAAAACUCUGUGUAGUAGAAGAAAUGCAAAAAGGGAAACCAUCAGGUAUGAUCAACCUGUAACUUCCAUGCAGUGUUUCUGGAGCAGCUGUGUCUGAGUGCAGUCACUCACAGUGCCUGGGUAGCACAGGAGGCCGAUGCAGCAGCUGAACAGCAGGAUGAGAUGCAUUGCACUCAUGGAAAUCUGUGCAGAUCUCAGCUGCAGAGGUAAAAUGCAAAGCGAGGGCUUCCCUUAACAUGCAGAAGCCCGUUGCUGUCUAUGGAAAAGCAUUAUUUCUGAUUACUUGCGGAACCAGCUGGGUUUGAGUCAGGGAUGUUGUCAUGGGUUUUUUAAUGCAUAUAGCUGAAGAAGAUGCUGAUCUUGUGUCAUAAAGCUAAUGCGUGAGAAGUUACUGAGAGCUUUUCCCAGGUACAAACCAUGAAUUAGGCCAUAGGGGUCCAAGGAACAAAUGUGGCCUAUUGAGCCAGGAGAGAGAAUUUAUGAAGACUGUGAACAGUUUCUUAAUGCUUGCACAAGGCCUUGCUCAUCAGUGAAGGUGAUUUACCAUUAAGUGGAUACAGAACAGUACUACAAAACUUUCUCAUAACAGUCUAGAAACUUGAAAUUGCUCUGAUUUGUACAACAUCUGUAAGAUACUAAAGGGUGGGUGAAGACAAGGAGCAGAAAGGUGAUUUUGAUAUUAUCCAGUGAGAAAAACCUCAGCAAAGUAUUCCCUUUGAGGAAGACCUGUGCACCUUUCUCAACAGAAUUUUUCUCCCUGUACUUUCUAUAAUGGUAUAGCAGUCAGAGAGACAUCAGGAAACUUUGGUCCCAUGUGGAUAUUUAAUGUCCUAUCUUUAAACAUACAUAUCUUCUACCCAUGCUGAUAAUAUUUUUCAUUGUUUCUGCAUCAGUUUUGUUGCUUUAUCAAAUCUUACUGUGAAUUUAGACUAUUUCCUGUCCCAUUUUCAGUGAACAUGAACAUUCAAUUGCCAACAUUCAGCAUAACGAAGUGGAAGUUUGGUAUUUUGUCCCCCCAUGGUUCUCAGGUCAGCUCCCCCCUUUCGUUUUUCUGAGUCACCCAGCAUUCUCCUUGUUCCUUGUGUUCUUCUCUGUUGGUUUUUAUCAGUUUUUAUGUUUUACGUGGUGCCUAAAACAGGAUACAAUAUUCCAGCUGAGAAUUUCACCAGCACUGAGUUGAACAAGGUAUUUAUCGUGGGUGUCCAAUGUAAAAGAACCUUAUUAAAUAUUUCUGUGAUGCAUUAUCUUCAUUGUGUUGACUCAAAUUCAGUUUGUGAUGCAUUACAACCACUGGCUCCUUUAGUGAGCACUGCCUGCUACUCCUCUUAUAUUGCAUGCUUCUGACUUGAUCCUUGGCUACAGAAAACUGCUGAAAACGUCACGUUUUCAGGAGGAGGAAAAGAGAUGAGGAGCUUUUCCAAAGGCACUGCUCCUGUGAAGUCCAGGUGGGUCAGCCUGCCUAUGGAAGAGAGAUUAUCACUUAAUGUUUCUUCACAAUAAUGGGUGGGAAUGACAAAGUUUUGUCAUUAUUCACAGAAAUCCUAAUAUGAGCUGGAGUAGGAAUGUUUGCUUGCAAAUGAGAAAGAAGAUAGUUACAGUACGUGAAUCUUAGAUUAUGCUUCUGGAUAUAUUUUUCCACUCUCCUGUUACUCACAAGUUCUGCAGAACGACUUAAUGAAUGUCCCUUUCAAUAAAUAAUAGUUCUGGCUGCCAGAGUUGAGAUGAAGUGAAGUUAAAAUUGGAAGGCUUUUGAAGAAAGAAGAAAACAACCAGAGAAGUUAUGCAAUUCUGCUUUUGUCCAAAACACUGAGAACAUAAAGAUGCUAUCUAUGGAUGUGAGGUGUUCUCUUUUGGUCUUCCAUGUGGUUAUCAGGUUAGAACACUGCCAGAGCCAACCAAACAAAGAAGACACAGAUGUGUUUCUGCCUAAUGCCCCUUGCAUAUUGUUGUUUAAAGAAACAUGAAGCAGUGGCAAGCGAGGAAGGAAUCUGACAGCAUGGAACGCGGUGUGCUUAAAAUCAUGAAAAACAUCCACUUGAGAACAGAAAAUCCCAACAAGAGCAGCCAAGGUUCGUUUGCGAAAGAGAAGUAUCACUAAAGUAGGCGUAUUUUUAUCUGGAGAAAUUAACAGACCUUUGAUUGGAAGAAUUUGAAUAUUCCUGGAGAAGUUGUGAUCAAAAGUCAUUAGCAAAAAUAAUAGAAAUAUAGUGGAAACCUUUAAUGGUCCUACUGGGUCUCCUUUUUGGAAAGCUCUCCAGGGGCCAUUAUAGUGCUGAGGUGAGUUUGGGUGUGAGUGGAGGUUUGGCUGCAGCAAGGGUCACUGCUCAGUUCUCCGAGUGCAGACUGACAGAUUUUGCUGAGCUCGUGUGUGCUCCAUUGCUGGGUCAGCCUGCACAUUCUGCACGGUGUAUUUCAUGCUGCUUUACGUUCCUGUGACCCGGAUGAAUUUAGCAGGGCGCUGAGCAGCAGGUUUCCUGUGUGUGCUUCUUGCACUUCUGCCCAUCUUAAUCCAGUUCUGUGCACUGUGAUGCGGUCUGUGGUUACAAAUCAAAUAAUAUCAAAUCAAAUAAUUUAUAUCAAAUAAUAAGACCUGCCUUCUCAAAUGCUGUUGCAUUUUGUGACUUUUUUCAGAAUUUUUUUUUUACUUACAUAUCUUGUUUAUUAUAUAUAGUUCAAAUUACUGCAGCAAAUAGGGAUUACUAAUUGUAAUGGAUCUUCUUGAUGUUUUUCACGAUGGUAUCUAAAUACCUUUUAACUUUAAAUGUGUCUUCACAGUAUUGCAAAGUCUUUUCUUCUCAGUGCAUUGAUGCAAAGCAGGGAAAUUAAUGGCAAAGCUAUCAAAACUCUCCACUGCAUCUAUAUAUUCCACAGUGACAAAAAACAAAUUUUCAGCUUGUCCCAGUAAAAUAAUUAGAAAUAUCUUCUUCAGCCACCCACCAGGUUGCAGAUGGAUAGUCCAGGCUGUUGGUGUUUUUUUCCCCAUGAUGCUGAACUGAAGGAGCCUCUGUUGGUCACCAUGCCUUAUGUGGGCACUCACACUUCAUGCUGUCCAUAGAAACGUCAAAUGUUAGCACAAAAGCUGUUGACCUUUUCAGCCUAGCAGCCCCAGCUGAAGGAUUUUUUUUAAUACAUAUAUAUAUUUAAUAAGACCUCCUAUUCUGACUUGCAUUCUCAAGUGUAAUCGGGCCUUUUUGUAUAUUUGGUGCCAACAUAACCCUGUAAUUUCAAUACCUGUUUUCAAACCGUAACCAGCGGUCAGCCUUUCUUUUGUUGGAGUUACCUGAGCUAAAUCUUCAGCCUUUUCUCGUUAUAGAUUCUUUGCCUUUAUAACCAUCUUAGUGAGCCUUUCUACGACCAUUCCAAUUGUCAUGUAUCGUCCACGAAUAUAAACUGUGCUCAGAAUUUUUUCAGUAACAUCUGAGUGUGCCUUACCUGGCCAUCAGAUCACAUUAUCUCCUUCAUUUUCUGUGGUGUGUGGUCAUUCUGUGACCAAGUAUGCUUUCAAGUCUUUGUCCUUCUCCAUUAACUAAGAUGAAUUCCCGUUUACAGGAAUGUUGGCUGUUAGUCCCUGGGUGAGCAGCCUCACGCUUUGCAGUCUUCUCAUUACUGCGUUCCACCCCUGCUGGUCCAGCCUUCGGAAUUCCCAUCUUGUUCAAAAACAUUGUCUGAUUUUCCUCCACGUCUUUUCCCCUCCAGACCUGUACAAAUUACAGUUAAAAACGUAUCUAGAGAAGCUGCUGGGACAGGACAGCUCGUGUCCAGCACUGAGAUCCAGGGACAAGGAAGAGGCGCUUCGUUGACCCACGGCCCACCUCCUCGCCGAGCCCCCAGAGCCGCCGGCGAGCGACGCAGCCGCGCGCCCUCCUCGCUCUCCCUCAAAGGUGGGCUGCGGCCCCGUGCCCCCGCCGCCCCCGGAGGUGCCCGGAAGGUAAGGGAGGCCGCUCCGAGCGCGGCCGCAUCUCCCGACCCCCGCCCCGAGCCGGGCGGCCCAGCCA